rnacentral:rRNA from 1 species
AGGUAUCAAAUCCUGAAUUCAUAGGGGUUUGAAGCGAACCCGGGGAACUGAAACAUCUCAGUACCCGGAGGAAAAGACAUCAACCGAGAUUCCGUCAGUAGUGGCGAGCGAACGCGGAUCAGGCCAGUGCUUGUGUUGAGAUUACCGGAACGGUCUGGAAAGGCCGGCAGGAUGGGUGACAGCCCCGUACGGGACGGUCGAUACACAAGACUCGAGUAGGGCGGGACACGUGAAAUCCUGUCUGAACAUGGGGGGACCACCCUCCAAGCCUAAGUACUCCUCAGCGACCGAUAGCGAACCAGUACCGUGAGGGAAAGGUGAAAAGAACCCCGACAAGGGGAGUGAAAGAGUCCCUGAAACCGGAUGCUUACAAACAGUAGGAGGGCGAAAGCCUGACUGCGUACCUUUUGUAUAAUGGGUCAGCGACUUAAUCUGACGAGCAAGCUUAAGCCGAUAGGUGUAGGCGCAGCGAAAGCGAGUCUGAACAGGG